GAUGAACGCUGGCGGCGUGCCUAAUACAUGCAAGUCGAGCGAACAGAUAAGGAGCUUGCUCCUUUGACGUUAGCGGCGGACGGGUGAGUAACACGUGGGUAACCUACCUAUAAGACUGGAAUAACUCCGGGAAACCGGGGCUAAUGCCGGAUAACAUUUAGAACCGCAUGGUUCUAAAGUGAAAGAUGGUUUUGCUAUCACUUAUAGAUGGACCCGCGCCGUAUUAGCUAGUUGGUAAGGUAACGGCUUACCAAGGCAACGAUACGUAGCCGACCUGAGAGGGUGAUCGCCCACACUGGAACUGAGACACGGUCCAGAGUCCUACGGGAUGCAGCAGUAGGGAAUCUUCCGCAAUGGGCGAAAGCCUGACGGAGCAACGCCGCGUGAGUGAUGAAGGUCUUCGGAUCGUAAAACUCUGUUAUUAGGGAAGAACAAAUGUGUAAGUAACUGUGCACGUCUUGACGGUACCUAAUCAGAAAGCCACGGCUAACUACGUG
rnacentral:rRNA from 1 species